ACCUGCAUUCGAAAGUGAUCGUGGGCUGCCUGUGCCCUGGUCAUUGAUAGUGCAGGGAGAGCAAAUGCUGAAAGCCUUUCCCCGUGUUUGGAGGACCCAUCCUGUCCUUUUCAAACCCUGGAGCUUUUGUACA
ensembl:snoRNA SNORA71 Small nucleolar RNA SNORA71